rnacentral:rRNA from 1 species
UCUUCGGGGAUGAUUAAACCGGCGCACGGGUGAGUAACACGUGAGUGACCUGCCUUUUAGACUGGAACAACUUACCGAAAGGUGAGCUAAUGCCGGAUGAGUUAUAUAGGUGCAUGUUUAUAUAGGAAAAGUUGGGGAGACCUGACGCUGAAAGAUGGACUCGCGUCCCAUUAGCUAGUUGGUAGGGUAAUGGCCUACCAAGGCGACGAUGGGUAGCCGGCCUGAGAGGGUGGCCGGCCACACUGGGACUGAGACACGGCCCAGACUCCUACGGGAGGCAGCAGUGGGGAAUUUUGCGCAAUGCUCGUAAGAGUGACGCAGCGACGCCGCGUGAAUGACGAAGGCCUUCGGGUCGUAAAGUUCUUUCGACAGGGAAGAAAAUGCCUAUAAGUAACUGUGUAUGUAUUGACGGUACCUGUAUAAGCAGCCCCGGCUAACUCCGUGCCAGCAGCCGCGGUAAUACGGAGGGGGCGAGCGUUGUUCGGAGUGACUGGGCGUAAAGAGCACGUAGGCGGUGUUGUAAGUCAUUAGUCAAAGACUAGAGCUCAACUUUAGUAAGGCUAGUGAUACUAUAAUACUAGAGUAUCAGAGAGGAUUGCAGAAUUCCUGGUGUAGCGGUGAAAUGCGUAGAUAUCAGGAGGAAUACCGUUAGCGAAGGCGGCAAUCUGGCUGGAAACUGACGCUGAGGUGCGAAAGCGUGGGUAGCAAACAGGAUUAGAUACCCUGGUAGUCCACGCUGUAAACGAUGGAUGCUAGGUG